CGGAGGUGUCCAGUUCGGACUUGCCCCUCUAUAUGGCUCUGUCUGGUUGGGGCGAUUCUGGGAUUGCGCUAGUGUGCUGACAUGGAUGGCGGCUUGACCAGGAAUUUUGCCUUCCUGGAGCUUUCCCAUUGUGGUGGCAUUGGAUUUAUGGGGUCGAGAGCUACAGGACCGUCAGGUUGUUAUUCACCGUGCCAACCUCGGGGUUGUCCAGGCGAUUAGCCAGCUUUCGGCCCCCCUUUUCUCUUUUG